GGAAGUAUGGCAGAGUUGGUCGAUUGCACUGGUCUUGAAAACCAGAGGCCCUUCGGGGUCCGGGGGUUCGAAUCCCUCUGCUUCCUCA
rnacentral:tRNA from 1 species